AAAAGAACCACAGGGAUUACCUCAGUAACGGCGAGUGAAGCGGUAACAGCUCAAAUUUGAAAUCUGGCCUCACGGUCCGAGUUGUAAUUUGUAGAGGAUGCUUCGAGCAUGGUCUGGCCUAAGUUCCUUGGAACAGGACGUCAUAGAGGGUGAGAAUCCCGUAUGCGGCCAGGUGCCUACGCUCAUGUGAAGCUCCUUCGACGAGUCGAGUUGUUUGGGAAUGCAGCUCAAAAUGGGUGGUAAAUUUCAUCUAAAGCUAAAUAUUGGCCAGAGACCGAUAGCGCACAAGUAGAGUGAUCGAAAGAUGAAAAGCACUUUGGAAAGAGAGUUAAACAGUACGUGAAAUUGUUGAAAGGGAAGCGCUUGCAACCAGACUUGCGCGCGGCCGAUCAUCCGGUGUUCUCACCGGUGCACUCGGCCGUGCUCAGGCCAGCAUCGGUUUUGGCGGCUGGAUAAAGGCCCUAGGAAUGUAGCUCCUCUCGGGGAGUGUUAUAGCCUAGGGUGCAAUGCAGCCUGCUGGGACCGAGGACCGCGCUUCGGCUAGGAUGCUGGCGUAAUGGUUGUAAGCGGCCCGUCUUGAAACACGGACCAAGGAGUCUAACAUCUAUGCGAGUGUUUGGGUGUCAAACCCAUACGCGUAAUGAAAGUGAACGGAGGUGAGAACCCUUAAGGGUGCAUCAUCGACCGGUCCUGAAGUUUACGGAAGGAUCUGAGUAAGAGCAUAGCUGUUGGGACCCGAAAGAUGGUGAACUAUGCCUGAAUAGGGUGAAGCCAGAGGAAACUCUGGUGGAGGCUCGCAGCGGUUCUGACGUGCAAAUCGAUCGUCAAAUUUGGGUAUAGGGGCGAAAGACUAAUCGAACCAUCUAGUAGCUGGUUCCUGCCGAAGUUUCCC
rnacentral:rRNA from 1 species